rnacentral:rRNA from 1 species
CGAAGGGUGCAAGCGUUACUCGGAAUUACUGGGCGUAAAGCGUGCGUAGGUGGUUUGUUAAGUCUGCUGUGAAAGCCCCGGGCUCAACCUGGGAAUGGCAGUGGAUACUGGCAAGCUAGAGUGCGGUAGAGGGUAGUGGAAUUCCCGGUGUAGCGGUGAAAUGCGUAGAGAUCGGGAGGAACACCAGUGGCGAAGGCGGCUACCUGGACCAGCACUGACACUGAGGCACGAAAGCGUGGGGAGCAAACAGGAUUAGAUACCCUGGUAGUCCACGCCCUAAACGAUGCGAACUGGACGUUGGGAGCAACUUGGCUCUCAGUGUCGAAGCUAACGCGUUAAGUUCGCCGCCUGGGGAGUACGGUCGCAAGACUG